UCCUCUUCUCUUCUGUCUGUCACACACAAAACCAAAAAUGGUACCACCACCACCAAGCCCUCUGUCAUUCUCCGUGAGACGAUGCAAACCAGAACUACUCACUCCGGCGAAACCAACGCCGCGAGAGUUAAAGCAACUCUCUGAUAUCGGCGACCAACAAGGCCACCGGUGUCAUAUUCGGAUCAUAAUGUUCUACAAGAAUAGAAUCAAAGAAACAGAACAUCAUCAUCAUCAUAUCAGAGGCUAAAGCACUUGUGCUUUACUAUCCGCUCGCUGGAAGGCUUAUCGAAGAGCCUAACAAAUAACUUACAAUGGACUGCACCGGCGAAGGCAUUUUGCUGGUCAAGGCCGAAGCAAAUGUCAGCCUCGACCAGCUUGGCGACUUCGUCCGGCCACCGUGUCCCUAUGCUAAGGAGUUUCUGUAUGAUGUCCCUGGCUCUGGUGGGAUCACGGAAUGCCCUUUUUUGUUGGUACAGUUCAUCUUCGUCACGUCGCAUCUUCAUCUCAGGGCAUAUCAGCUCGUCAUUGAAGUUUUAUCCUAACUCUGUAUUGGCUCUGUGAACAUGCAAAUAUCAUUGACUCGGAAGACAGUAACACAACUGAUUUCCCAAGAUGUGCCAAGUGGAAUUUGCAAACCUUGACGAAACAGCUGCAGAAGACACCAGUCCACUCUCUUGCACCUCGACAGGUUAGAUUUCUAUCGCCACUGAAAUCUUAGUGAAAUUCUCAAAUUUCUCUGACCACUGGUUUGUUUCCAUCCUUGUGCCUUGAUUGAUUGAGAUCAAUUUUCUCUGAACUAUCAAUUUAUGUUUCUUCUUUGGUUACCACUGGUUUAUUUCUGCCAUUGUAAUCAUUUUUCUUUGCAAUCCAA